UAAAAGGGUCGGUUGGCUAAAUAUGCCACGCUAGCCCUAGCUCGGUUACUGCUGUAUGAAAAUCAAGACAUAUGGCCGACAAAAUUUUUGAAGAAUAUAUAAUAUUUUUAUGAGUGAAUUUUAUAAAUGUUUAAA